GACGAACGCUGGCGGCGUGCUUAACACAUGCAAGUCGAACGGUGAAGGGGAGCUUGCUCCCUGGAUCAGUGGCGAACGGGUGAGUAACACGUGGGCAACCUGCCCCUCACUCUGGGAUAACUCCGGGAAACCGGGGCUAAUACCGGAUACGACCUGGUGCGACAUCGCACCGGGUGGAAAGAACUUCGGUGAGGGAGGGGCCCGCGGCCUAUCAGCUUGUUGGUGGGGUAACGGCCCACCAAGGCGACGACCGGUAGCCGGCCUGAGAGGGCGACCGGCCACACUGGGACUGAGACACGGCCCAGACUCCUACGGGAGGCAGCAGUGGGGAAUAUUGCGCAAUGGGCGAAAGCCUGACGCAGCGACGCAGCGUGAGGGACGAAGGCCUUCGGGUUGUAAACCUCUUUCAGCGGGGACGAAGCGAAAGUGACGGUACCCGCAGAAGAAGCACCGGCUAACUACGUGCCAGCCGCCGCGGUAACAC
rnacentral:rRNA from 1 species